rnacentral:lncRNA from 1 species
GAAAGAGGCUCCUCAGCAGCUUUCCGCAACGGGUAGCUCGCAAUCUGCGUCACUAUGAAGUCGAGGAGCUGCGACUGCAUACGUAUCCCAGAGACUCGGUGGGUGGUAGUCUGUGAUCGAUGCAAGCCGCGAGGUGGAGGUCCAUCGCUUUUUGGUCGAUUCCAAGUCUCUGCCCUGAGACACAACAUCUGUUUUUCUUAACGUAUUUUAGCGCGUUGAGAAAGGGCCACCAUGAAUUCUCCCCCUUUUUCACUAGUUCCAAGGGGCUUGCAAAUAUCUCAUGUGCAAGUUCCAAGGCUUUCGACAAUAACUUACAUCAUGCUGAUUGUAUCAAAAAAUAUGGUAGCUGGAUUCGAG